CUGCUUUGAGGGGAUUGUUGUCUGGCUCGAGGCCACCAACCAUCUUUGAUUGAUUCAAAUACUUUGAUCAGCUUCAACCCAUCUUCUCCUUCAAUUCAAUUCCACCCUCUGAUUAUGUGUUAGUGCCCUCGGACCAGGCUUCAUUCCCCUCAAUCACUGC
rnacentral:pre_miRNA from 1 species